UUUGUCUGAUCAAUAAUACGUCUCUUCAAGCCCAUAUUUUCAUUAUUCUCUCAAAUCCUUACGAAAUACAUACAAACUCAUUCGGUUUACCGGCUUGUCCAUCGUUCCGUAGUACUCACAAAGAGCCUACACAAAAAUCCCCUAACAAUUUGGCGCUAGAAGGAGGGGGGUAAUCUAACUACGUGACAAUGACGGUGGGUGAGCACGACGGCGAACCACCUGAAGCUACUCAAACAACAGCUGAGCUUCAAAGGCAAAUAGACAGCCUGCGAGGCCAAAUAACCGACAUACACCGA
rnacentral:lncRNA from 1 species